AUUGAACGCUGGCGGCAGGCUUAACACAUGCAAGUCGAACGAGUGGCGGACGGGUGAGUAAUGUCUGGGAAACUGCCUGAUGGAGGGGGAUAACUACUGGAAACGGUAGCUAAUACCGCAUACCAUCGGAUGUGCCCAGAUGGGAUUAGCUAGUAGGUGGGGUAAUGGCUCACCUAGGCGACGAUCCCUAGCUGGUCUGAGAGGAUGACCAGCCACACGGGAACUGAGACACGGUCCAGACUCCUACGGGAGGCAGCAGUGGGGAAUAUUGCACAAUGGGCGCAAGCCUGAUGCAGCCAUGCCGCGUGUGUGAAGAAGGCCUUCGGGUUGUAAAGUACUUUCAGCGAGGAGGCGUUACUCGCAGAAGAAGCACCGGCUAACUCCGUGCCAGCAGCCGCGGUAAUUC
rnacentral:rRNA from 1 species